GGGGCUAAAUACACCACCGAAGCUGCGAAUUGAUACCAAUGGUAUCAGUGGUAGGGGAGCGUUCUAAGUGCAGUGAAGUCAGACCGGAAGGACUGGUGGAGCGCUUAGAAGUGAGAAUGCCGGUAUGAGUAGCGAAAGACGGGUGAGAAUCCCGUCCACCGAAUGCCUAAGGUUUCCUGAGGAAGGCUCGUCCGCUCAGGGUUAGUCAGGACCUAAGCCGAGGCCGACAGGCGUAGGCGAUGGACAACAGGUUGAUAUUCCUGUACCACCUCUUUAUCGUUUGAGCAAUGGAGGGACGCAGAAGGAUAGAAGAAGCGUGCGAUUGGUUGUGCACGUCCAAGCAGUUAGGCUGAUAAGUAGGCAAAUCCGCUUAUCGUGAAGGCUGAGCUGUGAUGGGGAAGCUCCUUAUGGAGCGAAGUCUUUGAUUCCCCGCUGCCAAGAAAAGCUUCUAGCGAGAUAAAAGGUGCCUGUACCGCAAACCGACACAGGUAGGCGAGGAGAGAAUCCUAAGGUGUGCGAGAGAACUCUGGUUAAGGAACUCGGCAAAAUGACCCCGUAACUUCGGGAGAAGGGGUGCUUUCUUAACGGAAAGCCGCAGUGAAUAGGCCCAAGCGACUGUUUAGCAAAAACACAGCUCUCUGCGAAGCCGUAAGGCGAAGUAUAGGGGGUGACACCUGCCCGGUGCUGGAAGGUUAAGGAGAGGGGUUAGCGUAAGCGAAGCUCUGAACUGAAGCCCCAGUAAACGGCGGCCGUAACUAUAACGGUCCUAAGGUAGCGAAAUUCCUUGUCGGGUAAGUUCCGACCCGCACGAAAGGUGUAACGAUUUGGGCACUGUCUCAACCAGAGACUCGGUGAAAUUAUAGUACCUGUGAAGAUGCAGGUUACCCGCGACAGGACGGAAAGACCCCGUGGAGCUUUACUGUAGCCUGAUAUUGAAUUUUGGUACAGUUUGUACAGGAUAGGCGGGAGCCAUUGAAACCGGAGCGCUAGCUUCGGUGGAGGCGCUGGUGGGAUACCGCCCUGACUGUAUUGAAAUUCUAACCUACGGGUCUUAUCGACCCGGGAGACAGUGUCAGGUGGGCAGUUUGACUGGGGCGGUCGCCUCCUAAAGUGUAACGGAGGCGCCCAAAGGUUCCCUCAGAAUGGUUGGAAAUCAUUCGUAGAGUGCAAAGGCAUAAGGGAGCUUGACUGCGAGACCUACAAGUCGAGCAGGGACGAAAGUCGGGCUUAGUGAUCCGGUGGUUCCGCAUGGAAGGGCCAUCGCUCAACGGAUAAAAGCUACCCCGGGGAUAACAGGCUUAUCUCCCCCAAGAGUCCACAUCGACGGGGAGGUUUGGCACCUCGAUGUCGGCUCAUCGCAUCCUGGGGCUGUAGUCGGUCCCAAGGGUUGGGCUGUUCGCCCAUUAAAGCGGUACGCGAGCUGGGUUCAGAACGUCGUGAGACAGUUCGGUCCCUAUCCGUCGUGGGCGUAGGAAAUUUGAGAGGAGCUGUCCUUAGUACGAGAGGACCGGGAUGGACGCACCGCUGGUGUACCAGUUGUUCUGCCAAGGGCAUAGCUGGGUAGCUAUGUGCGGAAGGGAUAAGUGCUGAAAGCAUCUAAGCAUGAAGCCCCCCUCAAGAUGAGAUUUCCCAUAGCGUAAGCUAGUAAGAUCCCUGAAAGAUGAUCAGGUUGAUAGGUUCGAGGUGGAAGCAUGGUGACAUGUGGAGCUGACGAAUACUAAUAGAUCGAGGACUUAACCAU
rnacentral:rRNA from 1 species